CUUUGUACUUUGCACCGAAAACUGACAAGCUAGUUAUUGUGUGACACCGUCCAGGGAAUGUAACAUUGUGACUAUUUCGAUUACUGGGGACAAGGGACCAUGGUGACCGUGACUUCCGUGACACCGUCUUCCCCGACACUUUAUGGUCUAGUCUCCUCCUGUCAGCAACGCAACACUGAUGGUUCUGUGAUUUUUGGUUGUUUGGCGAUGGACUAUUCCCCUGACGCCACCAGUGUGACCUGGAAGAAACGUGGGGAGCCGAUCACAACUGGAUUUAAGACCUACCCAUCGGUGAGAAACAAGAAGGGAACUUACACCCUAAGCAGCCAGUUAGACCUCAACGAGUCAGACGCGGAAUGCAGCCAAAUCUCCUGUGAGGUUCGACACAGUGGGUCCGACAAGAGCACUGGAAUGCCAUGUGCACCAAAACCUGACCCUCCGACUGUUCUCCUAACUGUGAGUUCCAGUGAAGAAAUCGAGAGCAGAAAAUUUGCAACCAUCGUCUGUUCAAUCAUUGACUUCCAUUCAAAGUCAAUCUCCGUGACUUGGUUGAAGAACGGACGACGUAUGGAUUCUGACAUCUUCACUUCUCCCGUGUGUGAAGCGAAUGGAAACUUCUCAGCGACCAGUCGCCUGAGAGUCCCUUAUGCUGAAUGGUUCGACAAAGCAGUCUAUACAUGCCAGGUCAAUUAUGAUGGGACCAUUCAAAGUUGGAACGUCACCGGACCUCAGGUUUCUGAGUGCCAUGGUUACACAGCCAAAAUACUACCACCACCAGUCGAACAGGUCCUACUGGAGGCGACGGUGACGUUAACAUGUGUUGUGUCCAAUCUUCAUUCUGGAGUCAACUUCACCUGGUUACAAGACGAGAAGACUGUGAAAUCAGAGAUUGCUCACCAGUCCGGAGAGCAUUCCGAUGGUGCAAUCAGCAAAUUAGAUAUUUCGACUGAAGCCUGGCUGAGUGAGGUUGUUUUCGAAUGCGUGGCGAAUCAUCAGUAUCUACCGACUCCUCUGAGAGACUCCAUCCACAAGGAGAAAAUUAAAAAUCCACUGGAGCCAUCGGUGACUGUCCUCCUACCAACGACAGAAGAACUCUCCAUGCAGAGGUUUGUUUCCCUCACCUGUUUAGUCAGAGGUUUCAGGCCCCAAGAGAUCUUUGUCAAGUGGACAACCAACGACAAGCCGGUUAAUCCCAGUAACUACAAGAACACCGAAGUGACAGCAGAGAGCGACAACACCUCCUUCUUCUUGUACAGCCUGCUAUCGAUUGCAGCGGAGGAGUGGGCCAGCGGUGCUUCUUACUCCUGUGUGGUGGGACAUGAAGCGAUUCCGUUGAAGAUCAUCAACAGAACGGUUGAUAAAUCCAGCGAUUCGAUCGAUCACACUUGGAUUGAAGACUAUGAAGAUGAUAACGGCAACAUCUGGACCACUGCUUCCACGUUCAUCACCCUGUUUUUCCUGAGCAUUUUCUACAGCGCUGCCGUCACGCUGGUGAAGGCUAAAUGAAUGAAUUUUGGAGCCCAUAGACUUUCCUGAUCUGUUUUUCGAGGCCAGUGGAUUCCAAAUGUACAAUCAGUCCUGGUUUCGACAGGAGAUAAAUUCAAUUUAUGAAUGUGUAACUGAGACAAUAAUUGCUGGCUUUUCCAUUUUACUUUGCUUGAUAUCAUUGAGGUAAUUACGAUUGCAAUAAUUUUUGGCUUCCUAAUUGCUUCAAGUCCAUUUAUAGAUUAUUUUUGUUGUUGUCCUUUAUUCAGGACUGUUUACUAUCCUUUAUUUCGAGCACGUAUUUUCUCUUUAUGGUGACUGUUACAGAUGUCCCUAACAUUCACAGCUCAGAGAGCGUGUGUUCUUCUCUCAUUGUGACAUUCAGUC